UCUUGAACGAGGUUCGCUGACUAAUUAGGCCACGCCCACUCCCAAAGUCGUGAAGAAGAUUUAAAAUUGGUUGAUGUUUUCGACGCGACGAUGCGAAGUGAAACGAAGAAAUAAGAAGAAGCGAAGGUCCCCGGAGAGGUGAAUGAGGAUUUUACCACUAUGGACAUUUGAACAGUAUGCAGAAGAAGACGGAUCUGGAACUAGAAAGCAAGGCUCUGACUGGUCUACUACAGCAAGGAAUGUGCCAGCGGCCAAUCUGAUGAACAUGUGACAGAAGAUUUGGCAAUGGGUGAAGAAAUACUGAGAUUGAAAUGCAACCACAGGUGGAGGCUUCAACCAAACUUUUCAGACAGACAUGAGAUACAAAGUUACACAAGUAUAAAUGGUUGAAGGUUUAGGAGAGCCAGACAAGAAGGCAGGAAAUGUGAUGUCACUUUUACUUCCAUGAACAUGGACAGCAGCAGGAGCAACAACAGCAUCAGCAGCUGAAACUACAACUGCAGUAAGAGAUGCAACAACCACACCGACAACAUCAACAGCAGCAGGAGCUCCAACAAUCAUGCAGGGAACAUCGGGCGCAACAUAAAUAACUUCAUCAAGAGAUGCAACAACCACAGUGGUAAACAUCAACAGCAGUAGCAACAACGACAGUAGAAACAAAGCAAACAGCAAGGAUUCUAACAAGCAAUCAUACAAGCAACAACACAAGCGACAACAUCAAUAGAUGCCUCAGGAGAUGCAACAGCCACACUCGUAAACAGCAGCAGUAGCAGCGAUGACAACAGCAACCACACAGGCACCACCUUGAGCAACAUCAGUAGCAAAAUAACUAAUUGCACCAGGAGAUGCAACAACCACACCCACAACACCAAGAGCAGCAAAAACAAACAGCAAUUCCAGCAAUCACGAUGACAACAGCAGCAGCAACACCAACAACACUAAUGAACAUUGAAAAAACUUGUACAAAAGUCAAUGAGGUCGCAUUUUUCAGACAUUAUCAGACAUUAUUGAUUAAAAAAUGCACAAUGAUUUAUUUGGGUUAAAGACAAUUAUGUUUGAAAAAAUGUGUACAUUUGAAGAUGUUUCCUAUGUAUUGAUUGAUAUAAUAUAGUUUUAAAGAUGAAAAUAUUAUUCUUGAAAUGUCUACUUUUUAUUUGUCAUUGACUAAAAAUAAAUACAUUUUCUUUGAAUUUUCUCAAUGAAAUGAAAAAUAAGCAAUUUAUUAAAAUGUUAUAUUCAAAAUCAACUGAAAUUGAUUGAUUUUAGCUGCAAAGGCCCUCAAAAGGCUGAUUAGUCGGUGAAAAUUGGAUUAGUCGGUGAAAAUAAGUUUUGUCGGUAGGUGAAGGCCACCGACCAAAUUAGUCGGUGGUUUCCAAUAAUUUGUCGGAGAAAAUCACCGACAAAUUUUGAUGAAAUGGAAUUUAGUCGGUGAUGGCAAAAUUGUCGGUGAAAAUGAAAUUAGUCGGUGAAAAUCACAUUUAGUCGGAGAAAACCACCGACUAAUUGUUUGAUGAAACGCCCCCCCUGGAACAGUACUUAUAAGCUGCAUGUUUAGGACCUACAAUCUACAGUGGAAGUUUCUUUGCACUUGCAGAUAAUCGGUAACUGCAACCAUUGAUCCCCUCCGAAAGAUCCCGGAGUCAGAUUCUGUGCGCGAACAGUCCGACGCUAUUAUUUUCGUGUAAGUCACUGCACAGUAUAACAAACUAACUAACCUCGUACUUAGCUUGUGUGAGUGACUAAUACUAACCUCGCAAUACGUGUGAGUGGGAACGAGUAUGCGAUACCAAGGGCAAGGCAUCAGUCAUUGGGUGAUUUCAAUAAUUUCAAGUACAGUGUUGAAAUCUGGUGUUGGUGUUGUGACAACACCGUUCACAACACCGUACUUGAAUCAGGCUGGAAAAUAUGGAAAAUAUGGUGCAUUUCCGGCAGUUUGAGUUGAAGGCUGGUGUUGAUUGUCAUCUGCUGAACCCAACACUGCACUGCGGCUGCAUGGUGCAUGGUGUUGAUGAUCUACAUGCAAUUUCCCCAUUCAGCAAUACCGACCCCCAGGGAUUGGGAGAAUCGUGAUUUAAAGUUCAGUGUUGCUGUUGAUGAACUGUAGCUCACGAACAGGGGGCGAACACGACGAACCAUCUCCGUAAAAUUAUCUUUUACAUUUAAGAUGAGAGCAAAUCAUUAGAGUUUUAAUACAUUUCAAUGAAAAAUAAUAUUACGCUUGGUGUUGGAGCUCAGUUCAGCAGCCCUUUCGCGCUCUGUACACCGUACUUGAAAUCACCCAAUGACUUGCUACCUGGCAUUCCUGCCUUAUUAUACGCUGCCUUGAAUUGACCUGGUUGGUCCUGCCUGGACCGAGUGUUUUCCAACUGCAAUCAAACCUGUAGUUGCUACGUGAGACAUGCUUACACUAGACGCUGAAAUAUUAUUUAAUAGUUAUGGCACGAGCGAGACUAGGCCAUGGCCAUGCAUAUUGAGAUAUCAGUUGACUUCUAUCUUAAUCAAAAAGAGGCGCUCUUUAGUUACAGUAGGCAGUAGCUAUGUACUCUGAGUGAGGCCAAGUUACGGGACCUCCUUUUUAGAUUUUGUUAAUACUGAGAGGCUGCAAUUACACGUGAGUUUUUGUGAUGAUUACUGACGUUGCUAUUGGCAUUGCAUACCAAGUCAUUAAACAAUUGUAGACAGAAACAGAGAUUGCAACUCGCAAGAAAAUGUAAUACAUCUUAAUUCUUAUUACAUAUGCAUAUGUUUUUUGGUAUUAGUCUUGUUUGAGAAAAGAGGAUGUCAAAAAAGUUUGAAUGCUACAAUUAAAGGCCUCAAUAAAUAUCAC